UAUUAUGGAAUUUUAUUUUUAGAUUGAAAGGAAAAUCGGCGCGUACUUCUGUGAUUGAUCUGCGAAAUCCAAUUUUUAAUUAGGUUGCUAGUUUCAAGCGGAACAUAUUCAUAUUCCACGAAGAUUGUUCGCGAAUUCUAAACGAUAUAGCAUUUGGAGAAUGUAUAAAGGUCAUUCGCCAAUUUUAAACGAUACAGCAUUUGGAAAUUGUAUAAAGGUCAUUCGCCAAUUUUAAACGAUACAGCAUUUGGAAAUUGUAUAAAGG
rnacentral:lncRNA from 1 species